CGUACACUCCUACGGGAGGCAGCAGUGGGGAAUAUUGGACAAUGGGCGCAAGCCUGAUCCAGCCAUGCCGCGUGAGUGAUGAAGGCCCUAGGGUUGUAAAGCUCUUUCACCGGUGAAGAUAAUGACGGUAACCGGAGAAGAAGCCCCGGCUAACUUCGUGCCAGCAGCCGCGGUAAUACGAAGGGGGCUAGCGUUGUUCGGAUUUACUGGGCGUAAAGCGCACGUAGGCGGACUAUUAAGUCAGGGGUGAAAUCCCGGGGCUCAACCCCGGAACUGCCUUUGAUACUGGUAGUCUUGAGUUCGAGAGAGGUGAGUGGAAUUCCGAGUGUAGAGGUGAAAUUCGUAGAUAUUCGGAGGAACACCAGUGGCGAAGGCGGCUCACUGGCUCGAUACUGACGCUGAGGUGCGAAAGCGUGGGGAGCAAACAGGAUUAGAAACCCGGGUAGUCC
rnacentral:rRNA from 1 species